UCCCUGGUAGCUCAGAUGGUAAAGAAUCCGCCUGCAAUGCAGGAGACCCAGGUUCAAUUCCUGGGUUGGGAA
rnacentral:tRNA from 1 species